rnacentral:tRNA from 1 species
GGAAGGGUGGCCGAGUGGUUGAAGGCGCUCGCCUGGAAAGCGGGUAUACUGUAACAGGUAUCGUGAGUUCGAAUCUCAUCCCUUCCGCCA